CAUGGAGGGUGAGAAUCCCGUUCAUGGUUAAUCUUAAGGAAGCUCUACGAUACGUUUUCCAAGAGUCGAGUUGUUUGGGAUUGCAGCUCAAAAUGGGAGGUAAAUUUCUCCUAAGGCUAAAUAUUGGCGAGAGACCGAUAGCGAACAAGUACCGUGAGGGAAAGAUGAAAAGAACUUUGAAAAGAGAGUUAAACAGUACGUGAAAUUGUUGAAAGGGAAACGAUUGAAGUCAGUCAUACCAACGGGAAAUCAACCUUUUGAGCUCGGUCUCGUGGGUUUUGAAGAGUUUCAAAGCCUUCGGAUUCGCGGGAUUGGGAUCUCUUGGCGUACUUUUUCGUACGGUUAGUCAACAUCGGUUUUGAAUGUCAUAAAAUGACUGGAGGAAUGUAGCUUCGAUCUCGUAUUGAAGUGUUAUAGCCUUUGGUAGAUGUGAUGUUUGAGACCGAGGAUUGCAACGGAUACCCUUCAGGGCUAUUCGUCUGAUCUCUGAUACGUUGCCCUGAUGUUGAAAGCUUGCUUAUGAUGUUAGGGUAUUACGGUCAAAAGGUUAGAACGAAUUACAUUCGUUAAGGAUGUUGACGUAAUGG
rnacentral:rRNA from 1 species